GUGGGGAAUUUUGGACAAUGGGGGCAACCCUGAUCCAGCCAUUCCGCGUGAGUGAAGAAGGCCUUCGGGUUGUAAAGCUCUUUCGGCAGGAACGAAACGGUGAGCUCUAACAUAGCUCGCUAAUGACGGUACCUGAAGAAGAAGCACCGGCUAACUACGUGCCAGCAGCCGCGGUAAUACGUAGGGUGCGAGCGUUAAUCGGAAUUACUGGGCGUAAAGCGUGCGCAGGCGGUUGUGUAAGACAGAUGUGAAAUCCCCGGGCUCAACCUGGGAACUGCAUUUGUGACUGGAUAGCUAGAGUACGGUAGAGGGGGAUGGAAUUCCGCGUGUAGCAGUGAAAUGCGUAGAUAUGCGGAGGAACACCGAUGGCGAAGGCAAUCCCCUGGACCUGUACUGACGCUCAUGCACGAAAGCGUGGGGAGCAAACAGGAUUAGAUACCCCGGUAGUCC
rnacentral:rRNA from 1 species